rnacentral:sRNA from 1 species
AAAAUCACAUACACACACAUAUUUAACUAUGAGAAGCUUUAAACACCAGGUCCAUAAGAGUCUCUUGGAACCAACUGCAAGCAGAGGCUUACUGCCCUGAGCUCCUAGGGCUGCUUGGAGCCAGUGAGUAGCCACAGGCAGUCAUGAACCCAGGCCUCUCCCUCCACAGAGGAUCUCUGUGGGUUUCAAGUCAUGCACACCUAUGAAUGGGGCGAAUGCUUUGCCUCUCAAACCAUGUAAGUCACCUGUGUCUCAAAAGCAGACAUCUGCCUCAGGGUUCUGUGAAGCCAGAAGGAAAGAGGUUACUUUUUCUUUUGGAGACUUUUUCUUUCGUUUAGGGUUUCCAGCCUGGCCUUCAACUGCCUAUGUAGCCAAGGAUGUCCCAAUUCUGCUUCCACUUCCUGGACUUCCGGGAUUUCAGAUUUAACCCACCAUAACUGUUUUAUGUGGUGCUGGUGAUAAAAGCCAGGGCUUUAGGCUCAGUAUGUGAGCCCUCCACCAACUUAGAUCCACCCCCAGUGCAGGAAGACGAAUUCUAAACUGAAGUUGGAGGAGGAUAGCCCCUAAAAGUUCAGUUUGGGGAUUCAAGACCUGGGGUUUUUCUAGCUAUAUGAGAUAACCUGAGAAGGUUGUGUAGCACCAGAAAUUAUGAAAGGAGCAGGGAUUUUGGAGACAGCCCAAAGUGGAGAUUUCAAUUUGCUUUUAUCGUCUGUGUCUUGAUUUGGGAAAAGUAUCAAGGCUUUCUACAUUUGAGAACCUGAUUUUUGGUUUUUGGAGACAGGGUUACUCCAUGAAGCCUUCGCUUUGUUGGAACUCAUCCUAUAGCCAAGGCUGGUCUGGAACUCACAGACAUCCACCUGCCUCUGCCUCCUGAGUGCUGGGGUUAAAGGCAUGCUCCACUAAGUCUAGUUCAGAAUCUUUAUUCAAAUGACCGGGAUAACAACCUCUGUCUUACAUGGCUGUUGUGUGAGCUGUUGUCACAUGACACAAGGACCUCAUCCCUCCUAGGUAGAAAUGCUGUAAGUAUAGUACAGUGUGUGUGUGUGUGUGUGUGUGUGUGUGUGUGUGUGUGUAAUUGCUUUCAAAUCUCUACUAAUCUGUCUUCCUUUUACCUGCCCCCAAACUUUUAAUCCAAGCAAGGCUUCUCCAGGAUGUGUCGCAUGCCUCUGGAAAUUAUGUUGAUGUGCCAAAGAGAGAUAAUUGGGUGAACUUUGCUACCACCACAGAAUUUCCUUAACAAACAUUUGAGGAUGCCAGCAGGGUCUGGGGGCACUGAUUCCAGGCAAUGACCAUAAUUUGCACCCGAUUUAAAGUAUCUCAUCAUCGGAGAGACUUCCUUACAGUCUUGGUCUGGGUCCAGUUAAAAUCAGAUUUGUCUGCCUUAAAUGUACUCAGAAUACUUGGGCUGACCAUCACGAGAGAGUAUCACGCCACGGCCUGGGACCAGAUCGUCUAGAACCUGAAGCCCGAUUUCCGCUGAAUAACGCAUGUUGCUUUUCAUUGUUGUAAAAUAAAAUCACGUCGAAGCAUCGUAAGUUGGAGGCCUAUACUUUGAAUUGAAUGACAUUGGAUGGACUCAUAAAUAAGAAACUGAAAUUGGCAGAAAUUACCUGACAUGUGCAAAAACCGUCUGCUUACCAGACAGAGACCAGCUCUGGGUUCUCUCCCCAGAACCAUGUAAACUGGUGUGCGGCACAAACCUGAAAAUCCAGCUAGGGUCAUUCUCUAUUGCAAGACGGAGGCCAGCCCCAAAUAGAUUUUGUCUCGAAAGAAAAAACCAAGAGUGCUGAGGCUAAAGUCUCUCCAGCAGCACAUUCUACACAGAUCACGCCAGUUCAGGGAGCCUGGAUUUCCCAGCCCUCAGAGGAAAGUAAGGUCCUUCACGCCGACAGAAAGCCACUGGGUAUCGCUGUGAUGUUACCACCGUCUCCUACGCACCCUCUAAGUUCUCUCCAUCUGAGCUCACUGAUGGAUCAGCCUUGCUGAUGUCAUCAGAGUAAUCAUUUACUGCUCUACCGUUCGAUCGGACACAACCAUAUGCAUGAUAUGUAACAUAUACUACGUAUACUACAUCUUUAUUCUACCCUCCGAUGUUUCCCAAUUUGAAAAAAAGAUACUCGGAUUCACUAUCGUGCCUGAGUUUACUUAAACCACUUGGACAGACAGAGGAUUUUUUUUUUUAUCAUGGGGGUGUGUGUUAUCCUAUUUGCUAUGUUUCUAAAAAUCCUUGAAGAUCAAUGUUACCCACUAAUCUAUAUAAAAUUUUGAUGCUAAAUACUUUUCUUCCUGCUAUCAGGAGCAAGACAAGAACAUUGCUUUCUAUAAAUGUGUCAGGAUGGAGAGGAAGCGGUAACACUGUGCUCCUCCAUAGAUCAUGCCCUAUUGCACGGAGGAAAUCUCAAAGAAGCCAUCAGCCUACCUACUCAGGUUAACAAGUCAGUUGCUGGGCCCCAGGGAAAAAAAAACACCCAGUCCUCAGCACUGAAAAAGGAAAAGGGAGAGAGAGGGAAGAAGAAGGGAAAGCAGUCAUACAAAAACAUUAUUUUCUUCUAUAUUUUAACAACAAGGAUCCAAAGACAAGAGUCAAUAGAACAGUAGCAGCAAGAAAGCUACUGUUAAAAGUGGCAGCCGUUAAACACUGCACAACACUGAUGCAAAGAAUGAAAGACAAUCUAAAGGCAAAGAUGACAUUCUGCGUCUAAGAUACUCGCUCCAUAUCUGUGAACUAGAAGCUCACUCUUGCUGUCUUAAGAUAAAAACUGUCCUCACGUGAGAAGUCAACACAUGUCUACCAAAUCCUAACAGCCUCUCCCCUCAACCUCUCCCCUUCUCAACAAGUUUUUCCUAAAUUUUAUACGGAAAUUCAAAGGACCUAGAAAAGCCACCUUUAAAAAUACUAAUUGGUUCAUUAGUUUGUUUAUUUAGGGACAGAGUCUCUC